CAAUGCGUACGAUACGAUGCUAUCACAAGUAAGUCACAAGACUUCCGCUCAAAAAGUGUGACGAGUUGAACGUCGUCGACCGAUAUGACGCCUCACCACGGCAAUGAAUUCGAAAAACGGUUCAGCAGCCGCUCAAGGCCGUUCUCUCUUUCACAGUGUGUUGCAACGGCUGCGGUGAGCCCAACCAUGAAUGCGGUUACAAGGGCCCGCGCCAGUGUGUCGGCGACUAAUUAAGCAUAUUCAAUGUAAGACGAAUAAGAUGAUAGCGUUAGAGGAGUAAAUGGACGCGAAACAUAUUUCCAGGCAGCAAACUGAACCGAGAUACUCAGUAUCCUGCAUGGUAAACACUUUAACUAUAUCUUGAUCCUCCGUCCUUUCAGUAUCCACCCUACACAACUGAUUGUCAAGGUAUACAACAUUAACACCCCCAUUGACAACCACGCCGGCGCAUACAUUGUCUUCAUGCUCACAUUCACCAGUCCUGUAAGCAAGUUGGCCGCCAAAAAUAUCGCGAGACCGUUUUUAUUCAUAGCGUCGAGCAAGGGAGGCACUAAGAUCGAUGGUGAUGUUUGGGAAGAGGUGGGAGAUGGAAUAAUGUGGGUAAGGAGGAGGUAGCCGAGGAGAAAGGUGGUAUUGUAUGCCGCUACCCAAAAUACAUAAGGAGCGUUGGCCUUUAU
rnacentral:sRNA from 1 species